CCUACGGGAGGCAGCAGUGAGGAAUAUUGGUCAAUGGGCGCGAGCCUGAACCAGCCAAGUAGCGUGAAGGAUGACUGCCCUACGGGUUGUAAACUUCUUUUAUAAUGGAAUAAAGUGAGGCACGUGUGCCUUUUUGUAUGUACUUUAUGAAUAAGGAUAGGCUAACUCCGUGCCAGCAGCCGAGGUAAUACGGAGGAUCCGAGCGUUAUCCGGGUUUAUUGGGUUUAAAGGGAGCGUAGAUGGGUUGUUAAGUCAGUUGUGAAAGUUUGCGGCUCAACCGUAAAAUUGCAAUUGAUACUGGCAGUCUUGAGUACAGUAGAGGUAGGCGGAAUUCGUGGUAUAGCGGUGAAAUGCUUAGAUAUCACGAAGAACUCCGAUUGCGAAGGCAGCUUACUAAACUGCCACUGACAUUGAGGCUCGAAAGUGUGGGUAGCAAACAGGAUUAGAUACCCGAGUAGUC
rnacentral:rRNA from 1 species